ACGGCUCAGUAACACGUGGACAACCUACCCUAUGGAGGGGGAUAACCCCGGGAAACUGGGGAUAAUACCCCAUAGACUAUAGAUGCUGGAAUGCUUUGUAGUUGAAAGGUCCGCCGCCAUAGGAUGGGUCUGCGGCCGAUUAGGUUGUUGUUGGGGUAACGGCCCAACAAGCCUGUAAUCGGUACGGGUUGUGGGAGCAAGAGCCCGGAGAUGGAUUCUGAGACACGAAUCCAGGCCCUACGGGGCGCAGCAGCGCGAAAACUUUACAAUGCGGGAAACCGUGAUAAGGGAACUCCGAGUGCCCGUAAAAUCGGGCUGUCCAUCUGUUUAAAUAACAGGUGAAGAAAGGGCCGGGCAAGACCGGUGCCAGCCGCCGCGGUAAUACCGGCGGCUCGAGUGGUGGCCACUAUUACUGGGCUUAAAGCGUUCGUAGCUGGUCUGUUAAGUCUCUGGGGAAAUCUACUGGCUUAACCAAUAGGCGUCUCAGGGAUACUGGCAGACUAGGGACCGGGAGAGGUGAGAGGUACUCCAGGGGUAGGAGUGAAAUCCUGUAAUCCUUGGGGGACCACCUGUGGCGAAGGCGUCUCACCAGAACGGCUCCGACAGUGAGGGACGAAAGCUGGGGGAGCAAACCGGAUUAGA
rnacentral:rRNA from 1 species